rfam:Populus trichocarpa scaffold_18_contig_213, whole genome shotgun sequence.
UCUAGAACUCGAGAUAUGGCUCAAACAACGAACAAUGUCUGGGCUGUAAGACAGAUUCAGACUUCUCAUUUGCUGCUAAGAUUUGAACUCCAAAACAGCAAUCUUGAGUUUUAGACUCUUCAUGAAAGUUUUAGGCCUAUGUCUUAGCUUUCCAUC